rnacentral:sRNA from 1 species
CUAAAUUGACAAGGUUUCCAAAACAAAAUGGGAAAGUGCGUUGUCCAUGUAAAUGCAAAAAUGUGACUUCUUCUGCAUCCAAAUUGACAACUCCGCUUCCUAAAUACAAAAAAGUGACUUCUGCUAUAUCCAAAUGGCUUGCUAAACGCAAAAAUGUGUCUUCUUCCACAUAUAACAGGACAACAUCUCCAAUGAGCACCCCGUGGUAUUGGAUACUUUUUGGAUAGGAUAUUUGGACACAUUCUUGAAUUCUACUUCC